GAUGAACGCUGGCGGCGUGCCUAAUACAUGCAAGUCGAGCGAACAGACGGGGAGCUUGCUCCUCUGACGUUAGCGGCGGACGGGUGAGUAACACGUGGAUAACCUACCUAUAAGACUGGGAUAACUUCGGGAAACCGGAGCUAAUACCGGAUAAUAUAUUGAACCGCAUGGUUCAAUAGUGAAAGACGGUUUUGCUGUCACUUAUAGAUGGAUCCGCGCCGCAUUAGCUAGUUGGUAAGGUAACGGCUUACCAAGGCAACGAUGCGUAGCCGACCUGAGAGCGUGGGCGGGAAAAUGGGAAGGGAGCCGGGGAGACGAGUAGGAAGGGAGGGAGCAGCAUGGAAGAGUCAGCAAUGGGGGAAAGAAGUACGGAGCAAUGCAGAGGGAGGGAGGAAGGUAUAAGGAUAGUAGAACGGGGUGAUUGGGGAAGAAAAAAGGUGUAAGUAAAGAUGGAGGGAGUGACGGUAAAUAAUAAGAAAGCAAAGGCUAACUAAGUG
rnacentral:rRNA from 1 species